rnacentral:rRNA from 1 species
AGAGACAGCAGUAGCCGCGGUAAUACGUAGGUCCCGAGCGUUGUCCGGAUUUAUUGGGCGUAAAGCGAGCGCAGGCGGUUAGAUAAGUCUGAAGUUAAAGGCUGUGGCUUAACCAUAGUACGCUUUGGAAACUGUUUAACUUGAGUGCAGAAGGGGAGAGUGGAAUUCCAUGUGUAGCGGUGAAAUGCGUAGAUAUAUGGAGGAACACCGGUGGCGAAAGCGACUCUCUGGUCUGUAACUGACGCUGAGGCUCGAAAGCGUGGGGAGCAAACAGGAUUAGAUACCCGCGUAGUCCCUGUCUCUUAUACA